ensembl:snoRNA SNORA70 Small nucleolar RNA SNORA70
UUGAAAAAAGAAAAAAUAAAAAAAAAAAUUCUACCCUGUUGGGGGUCUGGUGUGCAAUGGCUACAAACAGCAACCUCCUCAGUAGUGUACGCAGCCUGUUGCCUUUAUGGGUUGCCCUUAGGAACCUUGGAGACAGCC